AGCUCCAAUAGCGUAUAUUAAAGUUGUUGCAGUUAAAAAGCUCGUAGUUGGAUUUCGGGAUCUGUCGUCGCCCGGUCUGCCGAGAUGGUGUGUACUGGCGAUGGCGUCCUUCCUUCUGGUUUGCCGCGCGAUGCUCUUCACUGGGUGUCGCGUUUUUGAAAGGCUCCAGAUCAUUUACUUUGAAAAAAUUAGAGUGUUCAAAGCAGGCGAUGAUUUGCUGCCCUGAAUACAUUAGCAUGGGAUAAUAGAAUAGGACUUUGCGCUUAUUUUGUUGGUUUCUAAGCGUCAAGGUAAUGAUUAAUAGAAAUAGUUGGGGGUAUUCAUAUUCUAGAGUCAGAGGUGAAAUUCUUGGAUUUCUGGAAGAUGAACUUCUGCGAAAGCAUUUAUCAAGGAUGUUUUC
rnacentral:rRNA from 1 species